CGCGUAGGGCGCGAGCGUUGUCCGGAAUUAUUGGGCGUAAAGAGCUCGUAGGCGGCCUGUUGCGUCCGCUGUGAAAGCCCGGGGCUUAACCCCGGGUCGGCAGUGGAUACGGGCAGGCUAGAGGUAGGUAGGGGAGAAUGGAAUUCCCGGUGUAGCGGUGAAAUGCGCAGAUAUCGGGAGGAACACCGAUGGCGAAGGCAAUCCCCUGGGCCUGCACUGACGCUCAUGCACGAAAGCGUGGGGAGCAAACAGG
rnacentral:rRNA from 1 species